UUUUUAAAAGUAUGCCACAAUAACCAUGGGCUACAUAUUUACUGUAGUGACACUGGGCCUUCUACGGGCCGUAGAAACAAUGGGCCUUCUAUGGGCCGUAGAAACAAUGGGCCUUCUACGGGGCAUAGAAACAAUGGGCCUUCAACGGGGCAUAUCAUCAAUGUACCUUCUACGGGUCGUAUCAUCAAUGGGCCUUCUAUGGGUCGUAUGAUCGACUGCCCAAACAUGGGCCAAUAACAUACCGCAUUAUGGCCGUAAACAGGCUAGAGUUGGAAUCGUCCGUUCAUGGGCCGACUAUAACGGGCCGUCGUUAAUCGGCCAUAUUUGAUGACGCUAUGAAAACGGCCCAAUGUAUUAACGGGCCACAAACAGGCCGACUGUAACCACGGUCUGAAUGUGGCCCACAAGCAGAAAAUGACAGUAAUGGGCCAUAAGUAACCGAAUGCUGGAAAUGAGCCCAAGACUAAAUGGCCCUGAGAAGGCCGAAAGAUGACAUGGGCUGGAAACAGCCCAACGGUAUAAUGGAUCGUUAAUGGGUAUAAAGUGAUACACUGUUCAUUACGGGCCAGUUUCACCACGGGCCGUUAAUGGGCCAAGAGUUACAAAGGGCCUCAUAUGGUCCGAAAGACUUCAUGGGCUAUACAUGGGCCGGAAGUUAAAACGGGAUGGAAUCAUAUUGGACGGCCCAGAUGACGCUACUGGACCUAAUUCGGAUAGGUCGUAACGGGCCCUGGAUUAGCGGGCUGUAAAUGGGCUAUACGCGAACAGGCCAUUAACAGGCUUUCCGUGGGCCGGCCUUUUCACAGGAAUGGGCCUCUGUUGGACCAUGCCAUAUGUCGAUGUAUCAUAGGCGCCUUUGGUCCAAUGAGUGGAUGACAUCUGUCCCAACGGUGAGCCGACGCGUGUUUCCUCCAGUCAAUGAUGAUUUUACAUGUGGAAAAUCCCCAUUGGUCGGGGCUGUUAACGGGUUAUCGGAUCCAAAACCAGACACGAUAGUGUAACAGCGAGCCGUUACGGUGGAUGCCAUGUGUCGGUCACCCUUGACGAAAGCACUUCUAUGACGCGGGAUUUAUUGUCAUGGAAGUGGACACUUCCGUGAUGAUAUUUUUGGUAAUGUCAUGAAACACUUCUACGACAGCACAUGUAUGACUAUCUUGAUUCUGUCAUAAAUUGUCAUGGAUGUACAUGCAUGACAGAAAACAUGACAUACUGUGACAAACAUGUAUCAUCACGGAAGUGCCUUUUUUGUAGUGGAUGGAUAAGACAAUUCCCGAGCUCGUCGCAAUGCUAAAGGCUGCGGAGGUAGAAAUCAAGAAGGAGCAUCAAGUGUUGAUGGCCAACAAGACCACCAGUUUCAAGAAGAAGAGCAAAGGAAAGAAAGGGAACUUCAAAGAAUGGCAAGCAAGUUGUUACUCCCGUGAAGAAACCCAAAGCUAGACCUAAGCCUGAAACUGAGUGCUUCUACUUCAAAGGGUAUGGUCACUGGAAGCGGAACUACCCCAAAUACUUGGCGGAUAAGAAGGAUGGCAAAGUGAACAAAGGUAUAUUUGAUAUACAGAUUAUUGAUGUGUACUUUACUAGUGUUCAUAAUAGCCCCUGGGUAUAUGAUACUGGUUCAGUUGCUAUGAUUAGUAACUUGAAACAGGAGUUACAAAAUGAACAGAAACUAGUCGAGGGCAAGGUGACGAUGUGUGUUGGAAGUGAUUCCAAGGUUGAUAAGAUCACCGUCGCAUACUCCCUUUACCUUCGGGAUUAGUGUUGAACCUAAAAUAAAUGUUAUUUGGUGUUUGCGUUGAGCAUAAAUAUGAUUGGAUUAUGCUUAUUGCAAUACGGUUAUUCAUUUAAGUCAAAGAAUAAUUGUUGUUCUAUUUACAUGAAUAAAACCUUCUAUGGUCAUACACUCAAUAUAAAUGGUUUAUUGAAUCUCGAUCAUGGUGAUACACAUAUUGGUAAUAUUGAAGCCAAAAGAUGCAAAGUUAAUAAUGAUAGUGCAACUUAUAUGUGGCACUGUCGUUUAGGUCAUAUUGGUGUAAAGCGCAUGAAGAAACUCCAUGUUGAUGGGCUUUUGGAAUCACUUGAUUAUGAAUCAUUUGAUGCUUGCGAACCAUGCCUCUCAUGGGCCAGAUGAAUAAGACUCCGUUCUCCAGAACAAUGGAGCGAACCACUGACUUAUUGUAAAUAAUACAUACUGAUGUAUGUGAUCUGAUGAGUGUUGAGGCUCGUGGCGGGUAUCAUUAUUUUCUUACCUUCACGGAUGAUUUAAGUAGAUAUGGGUAUAUCUACUUAAUGAAACACAAGUCUGAAACAUUUGAAAAGCUCAAAGAGUUUCAGAGUUAAGUGGAGAAUCAUCGUAACAAGAAAAUAAAGUUUCUACGAUCUGAUCGUGGAGACGAAAUAUUUGAGUUACGAGUUUGACCUUCAGUUGAAACAAUGUCGAAUAGUUUCACAACUCACGCCACCUGGAACACCACAGCGUAAUGGUGUGUCCGAACGUCAUAACCGUACUUUACUAGAUAUGGUGCGAUCUAUGAUGUCUCUUACUGAUUUACCACUACCGUUUUGGGGUUAUGCAUUAGAGAUAGUUGCAUUCGCGUUAAAUAGGGCACCAUCUAAAUCCGUUGAGACGACACCAUAUGAACUGUGGUUCAGCAAGAAACCUAAGCUGUCAUUUCUUAAAGUUUGGAGCUAUGAUGCUUAUGUGAAAAGGUUUCAACCUGAUAAGCUCGAUCCUAAAUCGGAGAAAUGCGUCUUCAUAGGAUACCCAAAAGAAACUGUUGGGUACACCUUCUAUCACAGAUUUGAAGGCAAGAUAUUCAUUGCUAAGAAUGGAUCCUUUCUAGAGAAGAAUUUUCUCUUGAAAGAAGUGAGUGGGAGGAAUGUAGAACUUGAUGAGGUAAUUGUACCUUCUCCUGAAUUGGAAAGUAGUUCAUCAUAGAAAUCAGUUCUAGUGAUUCCUACGCCAAUUAGUGAGGAAGUUAAUGAUGAUGAUCAUGAAACUUCAGAUCAAGUUACUACCGAACCUCAUAGGCCAACCGGAGUAUGGUCCACACUAGAGUGGUACAGUAAUCCUUUCUGGAAGUCAUGUUACUAGACCAUGACAAACCUACAAGCUAUGAGGAAGCGAUGAUGAGCCCAGAUUCCACAAAAUGGCUUGAGGCCAUCAAAUCUGAGAUGGGAUCCAUGUAUGAGAACAAAGUGUGGACUUUGGUUGACUUGCCCAAUGAUCAGCAAGCCAUUGAGAAUAAAUGGAUCUUCAAGAGGAAGACAGGCGCUGAUAGUAGUAUUACUAUAUACAAAGCUCGAAUUGGCGCAAAAGGUUUUCGACAAGUUCAAGAUGUUGACUACGAUGAGAUUUUCUCACUCGUAGCGAUGCUUAAAUCUGUCCGAAUCAUGUUAGCAAUUGCCACAUUUUAUGAAAUUUGGCAAAUGGAUGUCAAAACUACAUUCCUUAAUGGAUUUCUUAAAGAAGAGUUGUAUAUGAUGCAACAAGAAGGUUUUGUCAGUCCUAAAGGUGCUAACAAAGUGUGCAAGCUCCAGCGAUCCAUCUAUGGACUGGUGCAAGCAUCUCGGAGUUGGAAUAUAUGCUUUGAUAAAGUGAUCAACGCAUAUGGUUUUAUAUAGACUUGCGGUGAAGCCUAUAUUUACAAGAAAGUGAGUGGAAGCACUACAGCCUUUCUAAUAAGUAUAUGUGAAUGACAUAUUGUUGAUCGGAAAUGAUGUAGAAUCUUCUGGAAAGCAUAAAGGAGUGUUUGAAAGGAGUUUUUCAAAGAAAGACCUUGGUGAAGCUACUUACAUAUUGAGCAUCAAGAUCUAUAGAGAUAGAUCAAGACGCUUGAUAUAUUUUUCAAUGAGUACAUACCUUGACAAGAUUUUGAAGUAGUUCAAAAUGGAACAGUCAAAGAAGGAGUUCUUGCCUGUGUUGCAAGGUGUGAAGUUGAGUAAAGACUCAAAACCUUACCACGGCAGAAAAUAGAAAGAGAAUGAAAAGUCAUUCCCUAUGCCUCAGCCAUAGGUUCUAUAAAGUAUGCUAUGCUAUGUACCAGACCUAUUGUGUACCUCACCAAGAGUUUGGCAGGAGGGUACAAUAGUGAUCCAGGAGUGGAUCACUGGACAUCGGUUAAAAUUAUCCUUAGUGGAAUAAGGAUAUGUUUCUCGGUUAUGGAGGUGACAAAAAGUUUGUCGUAAAGAGUUACGUCGAUGCAACUUUUGACACCGAUCUGGAUGACUCUGAGUCUCAAUCUAGAUACAUAUUGAAAGUGGGAGCAAUUAGCUAGAGUAGCUCCGUGUAGAGCAUUGUAGACAUAGAAAAAUUUGCAAAAUACAUACAGCUCUAAAUGUGGCAGACCCAUUGACUAAAUUUCUCCCACAAGCAAAACAUGAUCACUCUUUGGGUGUUAAUCACAUAGCGACGUGAACUAGAUUAUUGACUCUAGUAAACCAUUUGGGUAUUAGUCACAUGAAGAUGUGAACUAAUCAUAUAAAUAUGUGAACUAUUGGUGUUAAAUCACAUGACGAUGUGAACUAGAUUAUUGACUCUAGUGCAAGUGGGAGACUGAAGGAAAUAUGCCCUAGAGGCAAUAAUAAAGUUGUUAUUUAUAUUUCCUUAUAUCAUGAUAAAUGUUUAUUAUUCAUGCUAGAAUUGUAUUAACCGGAAACUUAGUACAUGUGUUAAUACAUAGACAAAAUGAGUGUCACUAAUAUGCCUCUACUUGACUAGCUCGUUAAUCAAAGAUGGUUAAGUUUCCUAGCCAUGGACAAGAGUUGUCAUUUCAUGAACGGGAUCACAUCAUUAGAGAAUGAUGUGAUUGACUUGACCCAUCCGUUAGCUUAUCUCUAUGAUCGUUUAGUUUAUUGCUAUUGCUUUCUUCAUAACUUAUACAUGUUCCUAUGACUAUGAGAUUAUGCAACUCCCGAAUACCGGAGGAACACUUAGUGUGCUAUCAAAUGUCACAACGUAACUGGGUGAGUAUAGAGAUGCUCUACAGGUGUCUCCUAUGGUGUUUGUUGAGUUGGCAUAGAUCGAGAUUAGGAUUUGUCACUCUGUGUAUCGGAGAGGUAUCUCUGGGCCCUCUCGGUAAUGCACAUCACUAUGAGCCUUGCAAGCAAUGUGACUAAUGAGUUAGUUGUGGGAUGAUGCAUUACAGAACGAGUAAAGAGACUUGCCGGUAACGAGAAUGAACUAGGUAUUGAGAUACCGACGAUCGAAUCUUGGGCAAGUAACAUACCGAUAAUAAAGGGAACAACGUAUGUUGUUAUGCGGUUUGACCGAUAAAGAUCUUCGUAGAAUAUGUAGGAGCUAAUAUGAGCAUCCAGGUUCCGCUAUUGGUUAUUGACCGGAGAUGUGUCUCGGUCAUGUCUACAUAGUUCUCGAACCCAUCGGGUCCGCACGCUUAAUGUUCGAUGACGAUUUGUAUUAUGAGUUAUGUGAUUUGAUGUACCGAAGGUUGUUCGGAGUCCCGGAUGAGAUCACGGACAUGAUGAGGAGUCUCGAAAUGCUCGAGACGUAAAGAUCGAUAUAUUGGAAGGCUAUAUUUGGACAUCGGAAAGGUUCCGAGUGGUUCGGGUAUUUUUUGGAGUACCAGAGAGUUACGGGAAUUCGUCGGGGAGAAGUAUUGGGCCUUCAUGGACCUUAGUGGAAAGGAGAUAAGGGCCACAAGGGGAGGCCCCCCUGGGCUGGUCCGAAUUGGACUAGGGAGGGGGCGGCGCCCCCCUCUUUCCUUCUCCCUCUCCUCUCCUUCCUUCUUCUCCUACUUGGACUAGGAAAGGGGGAAACCUACUCCUACUAGGAGUAGGAAUCCCCCCCUUUGGGCGCGCCCCUUGUGGCCGGCCCUCCUACUCCUCCCCUCCUUUAUAUACGGCGGGAGGGGCACCCCAUAGACACACAAGUUGAUUGUUUAGCCGUAUGCGGUGCCUCCCUCCACAGAUUUUCACCUCAGUCAUAUCGUUGUAGUGCUUAGGCGAAGCCCUGCGUCGGUAACUUCAUCAUCACUGUCAUCACGCCGUCAUGCUUACGAAACUCUCCCUCGGCCUCAGCUGGAUCUAGAGUUUGUGGGACGUUACCGAGCUGAACGUGUGCAGAUCACGAAGGUGCCGCACCUUCGGUGUUAGGAUCGGUCGGAUCGUGAAGGCGUACGACUACAUCAACCGCGUUGUCAUAACGCUUCCGCUUACGGUCUACGAGGGUACGUGGACAACACUCUCCCCUCUCGUUGCUAUGCAUCACCUAGAUGGAUCUUGCAUGUGCGUAGGAUUUUUUUUGAAAUUACUGCAUUCCCCAACAACCCUUACUUGUGCACAGGCAGUGGCAGCCUUCCCGACGGCGGGGCUUGCCGGAGAACUACUCUAAAAAAGACUCAAGACUUGGUGUGCAAGACCAAGUAGAAGAUCUCAAGACAGGUCAUUGAUAAGUACUAGCUUAGUACUGAAGAUCAAGACUUUGGUUGCCGGUAAGCUACUUGACGGCAAACGAAGAGCCGGCAAGCUCCGUGUUGGCAAGCUUCCAUUUAUUGUCCACGGCUCCACCUCAACGAUGCACAAGUCAUUUGUCAAAUAGGUGUUGAGCGGGCGGGCUGUUUGAUGAGCUCUGUCUGGGCACGUGUCAGCUCGCCGCCGAAGGAUCAACUUUAGUGACACUCGUCAUGCAGGCGUGUCAAGAUAAUAGGAGAUGAUUGGGCGAACGACACAGAAGGAGAGACAACCCUUCCCGAAACGCCUCACCAGCACAACACCUCAGGGCGCAUUUAAUCCAUUUGUCCUAACUCGUCAGAGUUAGUUAUUUGGCAGUGUAGCAACUAUUUAUCUUGUGUAAAGCUGUUUUGCCAUUAUGGUGGCCCCUUUCCUUUAUAAAAGGAGGCCCAUGACUACCUUUACAAAGGUCGACACCUUGUUUAAUUACACGUGUAGCUGCACUUCUUGCGCACCUUGCCGGCAAGUUGCGCUCCUUGUACUUGAGCUUACACAUCCAAUACAAUCAAAGCAUGAGUAGAGUUUUACGCUUCACGGUGGCCCGAACCUGGGUAAAACACUUGUGUUGAUUGCUGGUUCCGCUCUUUGUGCGCGUUGAUCCUCACGACCGAACAACAAAGGGAUUUUUGCUGGUUCCAUAGAUCGGCGUACGCACAACAUGGGGCUAGGCAGUGACGAUGCUCUGCGCCAUUAUCCCUCUUGGGGGGUUGUCUAGGAGCUUAGGUGUCCUAGGGUGUUGUGUGGGGCUAUUUUCGGUUUCUCAUGUGUUCUUCUUCGGCGGGCUAGUUGCUUGUCUUCUUCGUGGCCCGGAUAAUGUAGGAUCUGUUUUGUAAGAGGAUUGCCUCACCAUCUUGUAUUGUUGGCCGUGUAUUUUGUUUUGUUUGUGCUUUUAUUUAAGAAGAGGGGCGAAAGCCUGUUGUUUCAAUAGACAUAAUAAGCCAAAGAAAAAAAAACGUUUAGUUGAGGGUCUGCAGUUCUGAGCAAAAUCCUGAUCAAGCCUGCAGCAGGCCCUUCACCAGCCACAAUGUCAGCGAUUUGAUUUCAGAGCACGCCAAGUAGGACAGUGACCAGCGCCGUCUCUUCGACCACGAGGAGGAGGAUGCUGGUUUUCCCGGCGGGCAAGCGCAGACAGAGCGCAACACCUGGUUUUAGACUACCCACAGUGGGAGUAACAUAGAUAGUAACAUCACACAUAUCUAGAUAAAAUAGAUGAUGUGGCAAGCAAUAAAUAAAGAAAGAGAGGCAUGUGGUAACAUAGCUAGUUACUACAAGUAUGAGUAAUAUCACACAUAUCAAGGCAAGAUGAGUCUAUAGCAUAAUAAAUAAAGUGUUGCAUGUUACUACACAUAUGUUGCUCCCCACUAUAGAGAUAGUAACAUAGAGUAGUAAUAUGCCCAUGUUACUACUCUAUAUUACUACCCAUUGUGAUAGUCUUAGAUACUGCUCGUAGUUUCGUUUGCCCUGCCGCCAUGUGGGUGCCGGCGGCAAGCCGCAAGUUGCGCCGCGGCAGCUUUUGGUCGAUCGCAUACAUAUUCACAUUGCUCUCUGGCUUCCUCUUCUUUAUUUCGAAACGGAGCUCUCUGGCUUUUAUUCCUCGGAAUCUGCUACAGCUACAGCUACAGCUACGGGAGCAAAGCAGAGGGAUCCGCAUGUGUCGCCUCGCGGCUCACCCUCACGCACGCCUUUGCAUAUUCACCGGAACACUUGGGUCACGCCGAAUGCCUAGUGGGAUCUUGAUUCUGUGCAGAUCACGGCGUAUCGUGUCGUGGUUCCGCAGGGCUCGCCCGGCGCUGGUGGAGAUCCCGGCGGAUCGCGGUCGAUCCAUCUCGUGGGCGGGAGCGACACCCUUUCGGCCAUGGAUCGGGUCGAAUCGCCUCCUCGGCCCCCGACUGGCCCUGUGAUAAUAAUGGCGUUGUAACUGACCACUGUAGUGUGUUAGCUGAUCCGGGUCACGGUGAGGAGUCACGCAUCGAAAGUUCGGAGAGACUGGCCGCUGCUUGUCAACUUCUGAUCCACAAACAAACGGAUCCGGCCAGUUGCACAAGUGGGGCUCAUGGUUUUCUCAGCUUUCGCCCGCAUGCUCAUGCUCCAUGCAUUUCCUUGCCGAAAUAUGGUCUGUGUUGGGGCGAAACUGCUUUGCGCACGACGCCUGUGUGGCCGAUUCAUGCACGAUUCAAAAUCAGACGAUGUCCUACAGUUUAUUCCCACAAACCAACGGCUUGAUUAACUACAUCGUCCACAAAUCGUGCACAUGUGUCGUGUGUAUAGCAUCGUUGGUGUUGGGGUGACCCGAUGCAUUGGAUUUUAGGUGAAUUGGAGGGAUGGAGGAACGAAUCUGCACGUGUCGUCUCCAUCCGGUUUCUUCUGGCUCUUCUAGGUUGGCAAUUUGCUUCCUUUUUCUUAAGGAUGGUUGGCAAUUUGAUAGUUUUCACAUCUUUGAUACUCCCUUCAUUUUCAUAAUAUAGUGCGCCUAUGUUUUUUAAAAUUUAAUUUUGAUCGUAAAUUUAACCAAUAUGGGCAACUGCCGCAGAGCAUGGCAGAUGCCUUUGAAUUCGUAUUCAAAAGAAGUUUUCAAAGGUAUAAUUUUCCAAUAAAAUGAUUUAUGCAUUAUUGGUCUAAUUUAUGUUCAAAGUUAAAUCUCAAAAAACGUGGACACGCUACAUUAUGGAAUGAAGGGAGUACGUCGUCAGAGCAUCUACAGUCGGGCACCCAGACCUGGUCUGGGCGGACGAUCCGGUCACCGACAGGUGACGAAAUUUAACCCAGACGGGCGCCUUAAACAUAUCUUAAAUGUCCAGGCUGACCAGCAUCCCUCAUGUCCGUCCCAAAUAUGGGGAAUAUGGGGCACCGGGGCGCUUCCGCCACGUCGAACGCGGCCCACGCUGGCCCACCCGAUCUCACAUAUACUUCUCUCCAUCCGCUCGCCGGGCCAAAUCCUAGCCACUUCACUCCAUUGCACUCCACUCCUUCCUGCCACCCAAGCUCUUGUCUGGCGAUCUCCGGCAUGGCGGGCAGCGGAUUUGAAUCCUUUAACUCCAGAUCCGUUGACCCCAAACUCAUUCCACGCGGCCCCGAGAAGAAGAUGGUCGUCCGGCUUGCGCUCCGCCGCUCCCGGGAAGACGCCCGUGCGAGGCAGCGCUUGGACUUCUUCCGUCGAGUAUCCAUUGCGUCCGCCCAAAUGACGCAUAGAUCCGGCGCUUGGUGUCCAUCGACUCAAACAUGGUGCGGCGUGCGUGCCGUGCGAGGCAAGGCGAGGGAGGCAGCGACGGUAGCCCUCGCGGCAGUGGACGUCGGCGCGGUGGAGUCGCAUUCUCCGACGCCCCGUAUGGUGCACCAAUCCCGGCGUCACAACCGCGUCGUGGUGGAUGUUGCUGGCUUAUCUCAGGACGGAUCCAUCAUCGACCGGAUGUACAUCGGCACCGUCUGAAUUCCGGGCUCCGACGAGGAAGAAUAGGGUAUGGGAGACGUCGGCGCCUUGAGUCAUGUGAGCCGGCUCGUGUCCCAUGCCGUACUCUACCUUGCCGGUGACCGGACCAGCUCUCUAGCGAGCGCUGCCGGUCGCCGGAUAUGGACACGACGAAGUUGAACGAGUUCUCCUUAAAGAUCGGUUCACGUUGCAUGUAAUGAUAUGGAUUUAAGGUUUUAAUUUAAAAUAUUGGAUUGUAGAAUCAAAUAUUUGAGAUGUGACUGAUCACUGUUCACGAACGCGUUCGGACAUGUUCGUGCAGACGUUCUAAGGAGUUGGAUUUGCAAGUCUGACCGUAGAUGCUCUCAGUGCCCCUCCUAUGAAUGUAAUUUUGAUUUGUUUAUUAUUAUCUAGCGAGCGGCAUGAGAAUAGUCUGAAGUUAUCAGAUCCGCGUGGAAUCAAAGGCGUCCAGCUUAAGUGCUUUAGCGAAUUGGACUGUGAGUUGGUCCAUCAGGAGGCCAACUUGCUCGUCCGAUGAUCCCAGGAAUUGCAGUGUCAAUGGACCAAAAAAUGUUAGAGCAUUUUUAAUGGCUUGUGUAUCCUAUAGUCUAUGUCAAAUAUAGACUAUCAGAGGCCAAAAAAUGUGUCCAUCAGCUUGUGUAUGUGCUAGUCUAAAUUUUAGACAUCCAUCCGAAUCGCUACGCAUUGUCCAUAUUUAGACGACGGAGCGAGGAUGUCCAAACAGAGUUGCCCCUUCGCGAGCUCGCUCCCGCGCCGAUCUGGAGAAGUUGGAGACGAGAAGACGGCCAUGCCACUGCCCCGAGGAGCUCGCCGUCGCUAAGGUACGCUCUGGUUUUUCCGAUUCAGAGAGAGGGAGAGUGAUUGAAGAGACAGGGCAGGGAGAUGGGGCCGAUGGAUCUGAGGCCAAAUCCGGCCGCCGCCGCCGGCCACUGUCGCCCUUGCGGAUUGGGCAAGGAGAUGCGAGAGAAGGGGCAGGGGGAUGGGGCUCCGGUUGCGAGCGCGGCGCCGGCGGCGAGCAUGUGCGCGAGCGGCGGGUGCGCCGGCUGCGAGCGGCGGGUGUGAGGGGGAUGCGCGAGCUGCGGGUGCGAGCGUGUGCGCGAGCGGCUGGGGCGCCGGCUGCGAGUAGCGGCUGUUAGGCACGAGCGCGAGCGGCUGGGGCGCCGGCUGUGAGGCGCGAGCGGCUGGGGCACGAGCGCGAGUGGCUAGGGCGCCGGCUGCGAGCAGCGGUUGCGAGCAGUAGCGUGUGCGCGAGCGCCAUCUCUCUGAAUAUUGCUACCGCUUCCUGUAUCUGAAUAUUGCUGCUGCUCCCUGUAUCUGAAUAUUGGUAUUGUUCUCUGAAUAUCUGAAUAUUGCUGCUGCUACUCUUUGUGUGCAGAUGGAAAACUCAUAUGAGUUGGACUCACAGAUCAACAACUCCUCAUUUCUGGACAUGAUGAAUGUAGGAUCGAGUGACACAAAUUGUUAUGGAACAGCAGAUUGUAGCCCACUUGCGGAACAAGUGACGAUGCCUCCACAAAAGGGGCGGAAAUCUGCGAAACCAAAAUCAGCAAAAGGAGCCUCCACAAAAGGGAAAAAUUGGUCAACUGCUGAGGACUUGGUGUUGAUUCAAGCAUGGGCAAACACUAGUCUGGAUGCGGUGACCGGGACCAAUCAGAAUUUAAGUACAUAUUGGGGUAGGAUUUCAGAUCACUACGACGCUCACAAAAAACCGUCAUGGCCGGGGCGUGGUUCUAAUGGACUCACCUGUCGUUACAACGUUAUUUCAACGCUCACGAGCAAGUUCUGUGCAUGUAUUCAACAUAUAUUAAAUAGAAAUUGCAGCAGAAUGACUCUCUUUGAUAAGGUAUGCAUCUAUCUUCUAAUUCGCUUCUAAUAUACCAUGUGUUGUAUGGAAGUGUUAACUCUUCAUUUCCUUUUUCAGGAAAGAGAUGCACACCGCAUGUACAUUGAACUGGAUGAGAAAAAGAAGCCAUUUACAUUAAUGCAUUGCUACAUAAAGUUUGAGAAGUAUCCAAAGUGGCAGACACGUCCGCUUCCUCAGAAGAAACAAAAGAAGACCUCGGAUGCAAGUCCGGGUACAACCUUCAACGAUGAAGACUUCGGCACAUGCACUGAUGCUCUUGAAGAAGAGCUAAGACCUCCUGGUACGAAGCAUGACAAGAAUGAACGUUUGAGAAAAGGUAAAACGGGAUUGCAGAACUCCAAAGGCUCGUUCCAUAUCCUUUCUAGCCGCCUCUUGCCUUUGGGCAAAAUGUUUCUUCUUUCUUGUUUCUAGCCGCCUCUUGCCUUCUUCCACAUCCUUCGCCGAAAUAAGUUUUCGGGAUAGCGAGGACUUUCUUUGAAGUAGUCAUUUCAUAGUAGAACAAAUCCUGCAUCUCUUGCUCGAUUGAUUGUCUGACGUCCAUGCUUGGAACCGCCAUGGCGUCGACGGUUCCUCUGCUCUUUCUUCUCGCGCUCUGCGAAUGCUACAAGAAUGAGUUCGUCAUCGUUAGAUGAAGACGACGACGAAUUCAUGAGCAUAUCCAAAAAAGAAUUAUUUCCACUCAUCAUUCUGUUGUGUGAGAGAAGACAAAGAAAUUCAGGAGAGGAAUGAGAAGGCACAACCAGGAUUGGUGAAUGAGAGGUGGGAGGGGUGGUAUAUAUAGACCUGGAAUAUAGCCGUUGAAAAUAUAGCCGUUGGAAAUAGAGCCGUUGAAAAGUAGCUGUUGAAAAUAUAGCCGUUGGAAAAGUAGUUGUUGAAAAUAUAGCCGUUGGAGACAUAGACUAUCAAAUUUAGACAAUCCACUGAAAAACUGAGGUUGUCUAAAAUGAAAUUUUUUUACACCAUUGUGUAUGUGAAGAUAUAGACUACCAAAUUUACACAAGCCAUUAGAGAUGCUCUUAGGUUGGGGACGGUGUCAAUGAACCAGGCACCAGCUCGGAGCUCCUUUGUGAAUAAUGUACAACUUUUUUUGCGGGGGAAAUAAUGUACAACUUGACGCAAAUGUACACGAGAACUGGACAAUUUUUCUCCCAUCAAAAUCAUGCAUUCAAAAAAAAUUUAAAUCACCAAGCAUCUCCAAAACAUGAUCUAAAAUGAAAUUUAGAGUUUGGAGUACAGCCACAUCUCCCUCCUGAGAAAAAUAGUACCACGUUGGCCCUUCGAGAAAAAUAGCACCACGUCACCACGUCGAGCAAACUCGUUCACGUGCACACACGCGCACCACCACAUGUUCCCGAGCCCACCGCCCCUGACAGACGGGACGCAACAGCGACUGGCGAGUGACCUGCCCCUACUGUAGAGUCCCUCGAAGCACGUACACCGGUGACUGGCCCGCGACUGGCCAGUCGUCACCGACGACGCGCCAGUCCACACGUCCUCCCGCCACCACGCACACACACACACACUACACGAGAGAUCGGAGCGACGGUACGUGUCGCGAGCCCGCGGCGGGCGCGCGCUGGCCGCGGCCGGACGAGGAGCCGUCCGCGUCGCCCGCCCCACUUGGCCCCGCCGCCGUCGCCGUCACUCCUUUUCCUCCCGUCCCGCUUCUUCGUGGCUGGCGAGUGGCGAUCCCCCGAGUCACCUUCCUGCCCCCUCUCCUCGCGCGCGCGGCCGCAGGCGCCGAGGGCAGCGCGGCCAUUUCCCCCGCCCAUCCCGAGAUAUUUCCCGAUCGACCGGGGCGUCCGGGCCACGGAUCACCACAUGUUGUCAACGCCGCCCGCGUCGGCUUCUGGGUGACGCGCCGCGGCCACAGGAACGCAGGAGGGCGCGACGCGAUCCGGCCGAUGGGCGCGCGGUGGGCGCGGUGAUCGCGUCGGAACGGUUGGCUGCCGGCCCGGUGUUUGCUUUGCUUGGCGUGGGCGAGUCGCCGGGUUGGGCGGUCCGGAGAGCGCGCGCGUGUACUGAUCGUCCGUCCGUGUACUGUUUACGCGGUACGCAUGCACGUGGUGACCGUGAACGCGUGGCACGUACUGCGUACGGUGGAGGCGUCCCUGAGGCCGUCCACGCGUCCGGUGGCCAGCUCCCAGCGCGCAACGGCCGGCACAAGCCUGGUCGUGCGACGCCGUUGGUCCAUGCGACGAAGAGUAUACCGCGAGCGAAGGAUGUAUGGCUGUACACAUCCGGGAAGCAAACACCUUUGGGCCUUGUUCGGUUGAGGUGGUUUGUGAGGGGGAUUGGCAGGGAUUGAGGGGGAUUAGAUCCCCUACAAGCCAAAUUCCUCUCCAAUCCACUCCAAUCCCCUUGGGAGGAGGAUUAAACGAACAAGGCCUUGCCGGUCUCCGGCAUUUGUUUUCUUCUUAAUUUUGUGUAUGCAGAAAGCAGUCAACUGCUGAUCAGGCAUUCACAUAUGCUAUAGCUCCACUUGGCUAGCUCCUCAGCAUCUCCAAGAAUCUUACUCCCUCCGUAAACUAAUAUAAGAGUGUUUAGAAUACUAAAAUAGUGAUCUAAACGUUCUUAUAUUAGUUUACAGAGGUAGUAUUUUGUUAUCAUUCAGACACAUUUCCUGAGAGAGAGAGAGAUCCUGUCCGUGGACCUCCGGUGCUAGCUUUUGAUCCGCAGCCACUUUUUUCUUCUGUUUUUUUGCGCAUGAUCUGCAGCCACUUGCAUAACCACAGCUCUGAAUAGAACCACGCACCACGCGUUUCCUUCGCAUCUUUAUUAACCAAGCUUCUCCGAAGCCCCUACGACCACGCCACGACACGCCUCGCCAUAUACUAGUGCUGCUUAAAUCGCAUGGCUGUCAGCUGCCCGACGGAGAUUAGCCCGAGGUUACCGACCACACGCCGAGUCCACUCGAGCGCAUCUUUAACAACGACUUCAUCCGCGCCUAAUCGGAGUAGUAUAGUAUACUGACUGCCUGGUCUGGGCCGUGGCAUGGUGUCACCUCUUCGGCCCAGAUAUUUCAUGGCGUGCAUCGCCGCGGCGUGGAGUAGACUUGCCAAGGCACGCAACCAUAGCAUGCAUGAUAAACUAAACUACUCCCUCCGUUCCGAAAUAAUUGUCUUUCUAGCCAUCUCAAAUGGACUACAACAUACGGAUGUAUGUAGACAUGUUUUAGAAUGUAGAUUCACUCUUUUUGCUCCGUAUGUAGUCACCUGUUGAAAUCAUCCACUAGCUAAGAUCUUUCUAACGACAAGCCUGUUAAUUAAUCAGUGGAUGCCAUCAGCUGAGCGUGGUCACUAGCUAGAUCACCAGUUUGCCCGCCAAAAAAAAGCUAGAUCACCAGUUUGCCCGCCAAAAAAAAAAACUAGAUCACCAGUUUGCCCGCCAAAAAACAAAGCUACUAGAUCACCAGUUAACUAUGCAUGGCUCACAUCAGUUUGCCAGCCGGUUGUAGCUUUUAUUUUGAUUUCUUAGCUCUUUGUGAGCAGCUUUUGUUUGAGACUUUAAGAUUAUUGUUGAACCUUUUUACUUGCUAAUAAAGGUGGCCGUAUGCAUCUUUUUGAUGCAGAGGCCGGGGAUGUCCUCUUUUAAAAAAAAAAUCAAUUGAGGUUUUCGUUUGAAGUUCUAAUUUCGACUAAAUGGUUGCUUUGCAAUAUAUACAAGGCCCUUUUGUGUAAGUUGGUCCCCAUGUGGCCAUGUGGCAGCUGGAUUACGUGCAUCAAGCCUAUCUGCAGCACUAAAAAGGAAAGUGAUCAGCACCCAAAUGGACCAAUCCGUCAGGAUAUGUCCAAGAAAAAAGCAUGAUAAAAGGAGGAACUAGACUGAUAACCAUACAUGACCAAAUAAAGAAGAAAUAUUUGUUCUUGAGAAGAACGAUUUGAGAGUGGAUAACAUUUCUCAAGCAAUAAUUCAAGCAAGAUUCCAUCACCCAUGACCCCAUGCAGGAGAGAGAAUAUCAUAUCUUUUUCUCUUCUUUUGGCUGGGAGAGAAUAUCAUGUCUCAUCAUACAUAUCUAUUGUAUUUUUCCGAUCCAACCCCAAAGAGGAUACAUAGCAACACAAGGCAGUGUAUGAGUUAGACUUCUAGAAUGAGAAUAUUAAACUCUUUGGGUGGGACUAGGUUUUGUGGACAUGGAUCGCUCGACGAGUUUCUGCCACCAAAACCAACGGCUCGCGUUGAUUCUGCCACAAACUACACACUCCGUAUGCUUCCAUGUCUUCUUGGGUCGUUUAACCCUGUCCGUUUAUCAAAGCCGUAUUAUAUUCUCCACACCAAAUCAAGAAGCCUUGGGGCAUCUCUACAACAUACCUCAUAUCUUAGUUACCCAUCCUGUUUCUCAUCCUUAGUUCCCCCUUUUUGUAAUUAUACUUUGGGUCAAGUACCCCAUCCGUUAAAACUUAAUUCACUAAACAAAAAAUAUUUCGCCGAUUCAUCAUAAGUUUGCAUACAAACUCCAAUUGAACAUAUAUUAUUAUUUAAUUCAAAACUUGAGAAUUCAAGUAGGCCCAAUUCAAAUAUAUAUUAAAAUUCAUGUUUUUACACCAUUCAAAUUCAAAUUAAUAAAUGGCCCAAACGAAAUAAAGAGAACAUCACAUCUCAUCAUACAUAUCUAUAUAUUUUCAAUCCAACCCCAAAUAGGAUACAUAGCAAACGAAGCAACCAAAAAGUAAUCUGUGAGUUCUCCUUCCAGAAUGAGAAUAAUAAACUCUCCGAGUGGGGCUAAGGUUUUGUGGACAUGGAUCGCUCGACUAGUUCGUGCCACCAAAACCAAUGGCCCACUUUGCCUCUCCCGUAGCCAUUUGAUUGUGCCACAAGCUACACAUAUGUUUUUAUGUGUCCUUUAACCGUGGCCGCUUAUCAAAGCCAUAUUAUACUCUUCACAUCACAUCAAACAAGAGGCCUUAGAAUACUCCAAGUGUCCCAUGGUAACAACACCUGAGUGAUAGGAUUUGAUCACAAGUGGCAAUUACAAGUGCUAUUUCUUUUUUACGAUAGAAUGGUUGUGACAAGAACGGAUGUGAGAGUUGAUAGGCUAGAGAAACAUGAAGUAUAUGCCAUGUCGUUGGCAAGUACGAGCUUCAACUAUAGGAAAAUAGAAUAGUGUUUUAGCGGUUGAGUUACCAUCGUAGGGCCUGAACGGUGUGUCGAGUUCAAGCAUUCUAACCAAAUUUAUCAACUUACAUGAUACUCCCUUCGUCUGGAAAUACUUGUCAUCAAAAUGGGUAAAAGAAGAUGUAUCUAGAUAUAUUUUAGUUCUAAAUACAUCUUUUUUUAUCUAUUUUGAUGACAAGUAUUUUCGGACGAAGGGAGUAUAUGGUAUGACAAUACAUCAUGGGCCAUAGAUACUACAUCCACCGUGUGGUUAUACCUCAACUCAACAUGAAUUAAAUUAAAUCACAGUUUGAACCUUUAAAAAAAAACACAUUUUGAAGUAUCAUGUGUUGCGGUGGAUUAUAUCUUUCACUAAGGUGACAUUUUCGCUAAUAGUUGAUGAUUUCGUCAAUCUUGUAGCUCCCCCGCUCGACUCACAUGUAGUUGUUGUGUGAUUGUAUCUGACUCUUUCAAUAAGUGAAACUAAACUCAUUAAUGAUGAACACAUGUGUGUCUACGCUGUACUCAAAACUUUGAAUCUGCCAUACAGACAUGUGUGACACCCUAAUUCAUGUCCAUUGGACGCAAUGAGCGGGAUGGGGAGGGGAGCGUAAGGAGCUAGGAGGAAGAAGGAGAGAUGAUGGACGAGGAGCGAUGGGGACUCGAUGGCAAUGACCACCAAGGCUAAAAUGAUAACCGACUAAGAUAAGGUCAGCAAGCUACCACAGGGGGUGUAAAGAGCACACAUUUGGUGUUCCCGGAGCAGCAGGGCCGCUGGAUCUGCGAUCCGAAGGGCAAUUGUCUACGUUUCACAAGGUUACCAGAAAACAUCCCAUAAGUCCCAUAAUUGCGCGUAUGUCCAGUGCUCCGACCCUGGCCCCCAGAUUUAUGAUCCAAUAGAACAGGACGACAGGCUACGUCCUAAUCCCUACGGUAGAGGACUGAUCAAAUCCUGACCCUCCAUCUCAGAUCAAGCGGCUCCGUUGAGUUGCAUUUAUGGCGGCAACGGCACCGGCCGCCAGCUAGCCCCCAUAUUCUCUACCAGAAUAGUGCCCACUUGCAUCGGCGGAAAAUAUCUGGGUGUACAACACGGCGGGGAACGUCAGCCACAAAUAAGAUCUAGCCCCACCCAACACCCCGACCCCCGCCGUCCACACACUCCCAAACGGAAAACCGCACGCUCCACAUUCUUUUUCUCCACGGCCCGCCGAUUCAUCAAUCGCACGGCCCCGGUGAGCAGGAGCAGGACUACGCUUCCCCGCUAGGAGCCACUGGUCUCCAUCCCAGGCCAGGGGGGCUCUUUAAAUAUCCUCCACCCGACCUGCCUGCCGACUCCAAAGUCCGUCCAAACCCAUCUCUCCCAUCUCACCUCACCUCCUCCCCCACGCCGCGGUUUCCCGACCACCGCGCAGAGAACAGGUCUUCCGUCCUCCCUCUCCGACUCGCGGUCGCCGCUGGCUUCCUCCUUCCCGGAACGCGCGGGCCACGCUAGCUCCGGCGGGCUUGGUUUCAUAGCCGCGAGCGAUCCAUCCACCCCCCGCCUAGAGGCUGCAGGCGGAGGACCGAGAAGAGAAAAUUGUUGUUCGUAAUGGCGGGCGACAGGUGCGAGGGCGCGAUCGCGGGGUGCGAGCUGUGCGGGGGCGUCGCGGCGGUGCACUGCGCGGCGGACUCGGCGUUCCUCUGCGUGCCCUGCGACGCCAAGGUGCACGGCGCCAACUUCCUCGCCUCCAGGCACCUGCGCCGCCGCCUCGUCCACGCGGCCGCGGACGAGGACGCCGGAUCCGCGGGCUCGGGCUCGGGCUCGGAGUCGUCCUCCAGCUCCUCCUGCGUGUCCACCGCCGACUCGUGCGCGGCCGCCUCCGCGGCGACGCGGGCGGCGGGGAGGAGGAGGGCCGGGUGCAAGCACCGGCGAGCGCGGGCGGAGGUCGUCCUCGAGGGGUGGGCCAAGCGGAUGGGCCUCGCGGCGGGAACGGCACGCCGGCGGGCGGCCAGGGCCGCGGGCGCGCUCCGGGCGCUAGGCCGUGGCGUCUCCGCCUCCCGCGUCCCGCUCCGCGUCGCGAUGGCCGCCGCGCUCUGGUCGGAGGUCGCCGGAUCCGGCUGCGCGGAGGCCGCGCUGCUCCGCCGGCUGGAGGCAAGCUCGCACGUGCCGGCGAGGCUGGUGGUCACGGUGGCGUCGUGGAUGGCGCGCACCGCGGUCAGGGCCCCCGCCCCCGCCCCCGCCGAGGAGGGCUGGGCCGAGUGCUCCUGAGCCACGGCCACGGCCCGGGCCCAUCUCCCUCCCGAUGACGAGCCGAACAAGGAAGGAAGCGAGCCCGAGAUAGAAUUACACGUAGAAUGUAACAUGUGAAGCAAAGUUCGUUUGUUUAAUUUCCCCCGCCUUAUUCUAAGCACGAUUAUACAUAUUGUUAUUAAUAUUCCUUCAUCAUGAAUUCAUCAUGGGGGCAAAAGAUCUUCCCAUCUUUAUUAUAUUUUUUGUUUUGGGGGGGUGGAGGCAAAAAGAUCUUGUGGUUAGGAAGCGCGAGACAAGGUCCACACCCGAAUGGAUGGGAGAGUUUGACUGCCUGUGCGUUAUGAUUAAAUAGAGUAACUAAAGUUGAUCUUGGUUAAGACUUAUGUGGUCGAAGAAUGUCGAUGAUACCUUCCGUGCUGGCCUCCGUUGGCUUCGCGCGUCGUGUGCGUUCGAUUGGUGGCUGUCGACGUUAAUCUUUGCUAACCACAAAUCGCCGCGGCGUACUUGCUCCAGGAGAGGGAUCGAGCUCAUGAUUCCGGCUGACCUCGUCGGUCGCUGUCUGUCUGUCUUCCCCCUCGCCUCGCCCUCGCCCUCGCCAUCGGUUUUGAGUAAGUGCAUGCACACACACCGUCCUCCCCGAGAGCGAGCGUGGACCUGGUACUCUGUACGGGUGGUGGUGGAGCUUGCCGUGAAUAUUUCGUUCGAGGAAUGGAUGGUCUGGACGGGCCAUCUCCAGAAAACAUGGAAAUUGAAUUGCAAUUUACUACUCUUGUGUAUUGCUGUACUCCCCUUAAUUUUUCUUCAGGGAAAAUGAAUUUUAUUUGGACGUGGAGUAUUUGCUCCCGAGUUCAAAUGCAUCAUACUUAACAGUAAAAAAAUGAGUAUUUUUUUGAUAAACUUUGACAAAUAUUUUGUAUGCUCGCAAAGUUUCUGAAUAAAAUCACAUCCAAAGAAGGCAUGGCAAAAAAAAUUUGAUGCUCCAAAAAGAAUAGUUUUAAAAAAUAUUUUGGACUAUCAAUUUUUGUUUUUUUGCCACAACUUUCGGGAAUGUCAUUUUGUGCUAAAAUUUGUCAAGCAUACAAAACAUUUGUCAAAAUUUAGCAAAAAAACAUAAUUUCUUUUACUAUUUUUUCAAUUUUACUGUUCAUCAAGGUGCAUUUGAGCUCACAAUCAGAAUGAGACUUUCGAUUUUAUCUCAUAAUUAAAGCAUCUGCUUUUGAGGCGUUCAUAAUUAGAGCAUCUAACCAAUCACAAAAAUGUGACCCAAUCGGGCUCCUCAAACUGACACUAUACGUCUGGGUUGACCGGCGCCCCUCAUAUCCAGGAUGGAUACGAGGAGUCCUGUUGCAUCCCNNNNNNNNNNNNNNNNNNNNNNNNNNNNNNNNNNNNNNNNNNNNNNNNNNNNNNNNNNNNNNNNNNNNNNNNNNNNNNNNNNNNNNNNNNNNNNNNNNNNNNNNNNNNNNNNNNNNNNNNNNNNNNNNNNNNNNNNNNNNNNNNNNNNNNNNNNNNNNNNNNNNNNNNNNNNNNNNNNNNNNNNNNNNNNNNNNNNNNNNNNNNNNNNNNNNNAAUUUAUCGGGCGAGCCAUUUACCACUCCUCUCUCCUCCUUCGUCCAUCGAGGCCAAGCUCCACCGCCAUCCUGACACCUCAGCGCCACCACCGCCGCCGCAAACCUUCUCCCCGACCGUCUCGCCGCCCUGGACACUGUUGUCGCCUCGAACACCGGUACGGUACGUCCAACUAUUCUCGGACCGCACCUUGCCCUAUGUGUUUGACAAAUUGUCUGAUCUAUCUUUUGUGAUUGUUUUGUAGGAAAAUGAACGAUUCAGAUGGCUCGUCGAAUGAGGAGUAUAAAAAUAUGUCUGAAUAAGUUGAAUUCUAAUUUAAACUAUUUUAUUGAAAACUUCAUGUCUGAAUUUUAAUAUUUAUCUUUAGUUAUUUUGCGUGUUCCGAAUAUAGAAAAACAAAGACAAACAUUCAGCGGAUUGGAUGAUAGACCCACUUUCGUUGUCCGCAUACAUGUCCAAACGUGUCCAUGAACAUAUUGUAUGUUUGUUUUGACACACACCACUAGAGUCGCCCUAAGCAUGCCGUUAGUCUUUCUACAGCAAGAGAAGGCCAUACGCAUUCGUUUUUCGUGUUUUGUCAAACCCCCAUGCAUCCAAACGCAAGAGCAUCUCCGACAUUCUCCCUGCUCCAAAAAAUGUAUGUAUAGGAAGAAUUGAGUCAAAAAAACUGUCCCAACAAGUUUUACUACCCCUUCCUCCCCCCAAAAUUGAUCUCUCCUAAAAACAUCCCAUAUCUCCUCAAAUCUCCCAUAAUUUUCUAACCCAUGUCACAUCAACAUGCCGCCGCCAUAGCUACUACCCACCAUACCGUCGUCCAUCGUCACGCCCGCCACGCGACUCCCCGUCGUCGCCGCUCGCUGUUACGCCACACCACCGCUGCUUCGCCACCACCGACUCUGCCAUGUCAACGGUCGCCAUAGCUUCGCCGAUGUCUUACGUGGACACAUGAGAAAGAGAAAAGAAAUUAGUCACUGUGCGACUCACGUGUUAGGGUAAAGUUUAUGGAGAAGUUUACAAAGGAAUUGCUACAGUCGCACACCUUUCAUUCAUACCCAAUAUUUUUAUAGAAGAUCUCCUAAACACACAUAUAAGGAGAGAUUCUUAGAGAUCUUAAUCUUGUUAUUUAUGACCACUGUAAUAGAGAGAGUAAUCAGGUAGCUUAUGAACUAGUUAGGUUAGCUACGUUCUCUCCUCCUAAUGUGUGGAUGGAGUCACCCCGGAGGCGGUGGUUUCUAUGAUUAUAAACGAUGUAAAAAUUCUAAUAAAUGAAUAAAGGAGGAGAUAAUUAUUAAAAAAAUUGCUCUAAAAGCCUAAGAGGCAAGCUAUCGUUUGAGAAAAAACAACCGAGGCUGAAAGAGAGUCUCAAAAAUAGGUCAGCCGACAUAGUGUAGGCCUCUCUUUAGGGCUUGGUAAAAGGUUUCAGCCAUGUGAAGCCCAGCCCGUUACAUAAAAGGUACCCCGCCGAAGCCCAGGAACACGCCCCCCUUCCGUACCAUCCCGACCAGGCGACCACCGCCUCCGCUCACCGUCGACGACUCCAACUCCAACUCGAAACAAACCCCAAAGCCGACGCCGCCGCCUGCCCCCUGCCCCUUGCCCCCGCCGACCGCGCCGAAAACAUGGACUCGCUUCUUGCCACCUACGCCUCUUCCGACGAAGACGCCGACGAGAGCAUCCCCACACCCGCUCCCGCGACCCGCCGCAGCGAGGCCAGCGGAAAGCCCGCCGGCAGCAUCUUCUCCGCGCUCCCGCAACCCAAGUCGGCGCCUAUCUUCUCCUCACUCCCGGCGCCGAAAUCCGCCCCGACCUUCUCCUCCACCCCGCCUCCCAAAUCCUCCGCUUCCUCCGGAAACCCUAAGCGCGUCGUCCAGUUCCGCCCGCCGCCGAUCCGCCAGACCACCGGGGUCAGCUCGGACGAGGAGGAUGACGCCGAGAAGCGCCGUCCCAGCGCUAGCGAGGCGCCCCCGCCCCCGUCUGCUGGAUCGGGGCCGGUGUCUUCGUUCCUCCCGGCGCCCAGGCACUCGCUUGGCUUCGGCUCCGGCGCGGCCAGGAGGUCGGCCGUAGACACCGCCGGGCCGGAGAGGUCAAAUCUUGGUGCUGCUGGCCCCUCUAGCUCGGCUGUCAACAGAGGAGCGCCAGAAAGGUCCGAUACUGGCCCUGCGGACGAGGACGAUCCUGAGGAAAGCAGCGAUGAGGACGGCAUGCCUGCUCCGGAGCAGCAGCAAGAACAACAGGAUCUUGGUGCUGGAGCUGGAGACGUCCAACACCAGGGCUAUGAUGCUGGAGUUGGAAACGCUAAUGGGUACGAAGGCUAUGCAUGGGAUCCAAACUAUUAUGCAUAUUAUGGUUUGGAUCCGAAUAGCAAUUUGAAUUAUGGGGCUGAACCACAGUAUGCAGCAUAUGGAGUAGAGCAAGGUGGUGGGUAUGCAAAUGGAUAUGGCGGGGAGCACAGUGGUGGAUACGAGCAUUCGACAGCGCCUCCAUGUGGAGGGGAAUAUACUGGAGGUUACAGUGCUGAGGCUGUGGCAAUGGCAGCGCCACCAAUGCCGGAGCCGGCACUGCCACCAGAAUUGGGCAGGAUUGGAGUGAAGAGAGGUAGGAGGGAUAUGCCUAUGGAGAUUAUAGAGGUGAAUCAGGCAGAACUGGUCAAGAACCGUCCGAGGGAGGACAAAUCCAAGCUCACGGGGAUGGCCUUUGGUCCUAGUUACCAGGUACAGACAAAUCAUUCCUUGAUAACUUGGCAUCACCUUUGCUUAGCUCUUGCUACAUUGUUAUUGUGCUCAGUUCACUGUACUUUCUUUGGUUUUCUUUCACCUUAUAUAGCCACCACCAUUACUACUAUCUAGUCAAUGUUAGAUAAUUGUGUUUUUAUUUUGUCAAGUGAUACACCGCUACUGUAGUAUGCAUGCAGCAUUGUCCAUUCAAUUUAGGCCCUGAUACCAGUCCCCAGCAAUUAUUCUUGGUAAUAGGUUUGUGUUUGUCACAGUUUUAGUUUUAAAUUUGCAAGUCAUCACCAAUAAGGCAAACAAAGCAAGUACUGUACCUAACAAGUGAAGAGUCACCACUCAUAACUUCUCCAAGCUGUAAUUAUGCUAGUAAUGCUUUCAAGGGUGUUGUCAAUGUCAUCAGAUCAUCACUGGAGUAUUUAACUAUAUAAUUAUGUUUUGUUACAAAAGGAACCAUAUGAUUUGUCAAUUCAUAUAUAUUCAUAUUUCCUUAAACUUAACGAUAAGUAUACUAGCUAAUCUCCAUUUUACUACCCUGAACAAAGUUGGUGGUUCACAUUACCCCCUGAUCUAUUUUUCGGUUCACUUACCCCCCUAAACAAUCCCAUACCGGACAAAAAAAAAUCCCUGGGUGGUUUUUCUGGACUUGCAGCUGACGUGGUGCUGGUCAAUGGUGGUUUUGACCUGCGGGUGGGUCCCACUUGUCAGUUUUUUAAAAAAAAUCUAAGAAAUAUAAAAGAAGUACUGUACCUGGGCCUUACCUCUUGUAAAUUUUGGCCCAGCCCAACCCAGCGAGGGGCUGGGUCGUCUUCAACCGCCGGCGCUGCUCGUUGAAAGCACGCUGCCAGGGGUAGCCGUUUGCAUCUACGCGGCCAACAUCCACUCCUCGUCAGCAAACCUUGUCUACGAGGGCCUCCUUGCCCUAGAAAGCUCAAAUGCCGACUCAAUCGAUGGAUGACGCCCAAAAUCGACUGAAUCGAGCUCAUCUUCCUCACUUCCGACCAUCAGUCGCCGCCAUCAAUCUGUUGCCUCUCGAGUCUCCCCGACCUUUGUGACCUUGCCGCGAGAUCCAUGUGGUGCCGCCGAUCUUCCAGACACGUCGUUGAUGAGCGCCUCUUCGUCCAACCCCCUUCCCACGAUGCCUCACUCCGUCGACCGCAAGCGAGGUCCAUGCCCUCGCCAUGGGCCCUCCCCACCCCAUUCUACUGCUCUGGCAUGCUCACGGCAAGCGCCUAAUGCCGGCGCACCCCUCUCCCCUCUUCCAUGUGCCUUGUAGUGCCCUGCCACCUAGCUUCGAACGGCUCCGUCGCUGUCCUCGGCCAUACCUGAGGGUCUGACCGUCCCCGCUCGCGCUACCACCCCCAUUCUACGCGGAGCGAGCCCAGGAGCGCGCAGGACGAAUCCACCGGCCAUUUGCUUGCCGGAACAGAGCUCCCACGCCCUAUGCUGUGACGUAUGCUCACCGAGGGCCUUAACGCCGGUGGUUAGAUUAGGAUCAGUGUUAGGUUAUGCUAGUCUUGGGUCACUGAUCACAGCCCCCCAUCUAAUUAACUCUUGUGUUUAAUCACCAAGCCAAUGACGUGUGGACCCCUGGUCAGUUUGACUAGUCAGUGCUGACUUUUUUAACAGGUGGGCCCCUCUCUCACUGGUCAAAUACCGCUUUGACCUUGGGGAAAACCAUCCAGGGACUGAUUUUGUCCGGUAUGAGAUUGUUUAGGGGGUGAAAGGAGCAGAAAAAAAGAUCAGGGGGUUAUGUGAACCAACUUUGUUCAGGAUAGUAAAAUGGACUUUUUUCUAAAAAGUUACCAUUCUGUUCAGUAAAGAACUAUCGAAGCUAUUACUCCGUUUGAAUAGUUCUUUGAACUUCAGUUGUCACAAUAUAUUAUGACAUUUUGCAGAAGAUCUAUUUUACUCGUAAUGUAGUCAUAUAAAUUUGUCUGAACUAUCUAACUAUUUGACUGUACCCUUUUUCUGAUGUGUCAGAAAAUUGUGACCAAACGAAGUACAUAGUUGUUAUUACAAUGUACUCCUCCGUUCAUAAGAUGUUUUGGAUCUUUCAAUAUGGACUACAUACGGGUGAAAUGUGUGAACAAACACACUAAAACAUGUCAUACAUCCGAUUUAUAAAAAAGUUAGAAUAUCUUAUAAUAGUGAACGGAGGGAGUAACUAUUAUUUUGUAUUGAGUAUGUACCCUCUUAAUGGGUUUGCUGAUUGCCUAUACCAGAUGGGGCUUGUGAGCUAAGACAAACUUGCUUUAGUUUAGGUUAUAUUAAAGUACAGUUUGUUGGAUCAAACGGUCAGCUUUACUGAGCAAAAUCGCACUACAUGGAAUUGACCAGACUAGAGCAGGUUCUGUCUGUAAUCAGACAAGAUUCACACAGCGUUCAGUUGAUUAAACUAAAAUAUUACUUUGUAAGCAUGAAUAAAAGAAUAAGGUGAUGAUGUGACGUGGUUGUUCUUGAUGUUGUGGGUAACUGGGUGUUGGAUACUCCCUCUAAUUGAAGACUUCUACAUACAUUUGAAAUACAGACAAGCUAGAGUUCUGUUUUUCUUGCGUUAGGUCACCCUAAUCCAGGACCUUAUGUGGUAGGGUGUAAUGGUGGUCUUGGGUUACGUCUUCACAGUCCAUGUCUAGGAAAGGGAUAUGCUAGGAUAGUAGAACUUUGAGAUCACAAACUACAAAUCAAUGGUGAAAAAUAGAAGGAUGGCUAGUGUCAAAAUACGGUCUUGUUAAUAUCUGAUGAUCCUACCAAAGGUAGACCUUUUUGAUAAUAUAGGUUGAUGAUAAUUGAUAUAUGGGCCUAUAGGACUGUAUAACCCAUGGUGCAUUAGAAGAUCUCAUCAUAUCGCUAUCAGAACUUAGAAGCAUGUCUUGAAUAUAUAGUUCUCCCUGUAUUGUUUGAAAAUUGUAGCUGUGAAUGCCUAUUUCUCCCUGGUAUCAAAACCAUCAGCCAUUCAGCCAUUUUCACAUGUCCCUGUCUUGUUGCUGCUGUUCAUCAUCCAAACUUCUGCUUGUGACAUCAAUUUAGAGUAGGCUACUUCUACCGAAUGAACAUCGCUGCUCUCUUCGACAUUACUCGAUGCUCCAAUGUGCGUAUUAUCCUGACCCAAGAUUUGUUCUAUCUCGUGUGUAGGCCGCCCCUUCGGGGAAGGGAAAGCCCUCCAAGCUGCAGAAGAGAAAGCAUCAGAUCGGUUCUCUCUUCUACGACCUGAAGCAGAAGGAGAUGGAGCUUACCGAGAGGCGUGCCAAGGGCUUCCUCACGAAAGCGGAGACUCAAGCAAAAUAUGGGUGGUGAGAAUGGUCACGAAGACAGCCUUGUAUAUCAGAAAUUCAGAAUCGAGCUGUAACUGUUUAUCUAUCUUGUUGUUUAACAUUUUGUUGUAGUGCCUGGUGAUGUGAACCCGUUGUACGAUUAUAACCAAACAAAUAGUUCAUUCAACCUUUGCUUGUAAACUGUGCAUCAAUUUUUACGGACCAUAUAAAGAAGGCAAAGUGUUCCUGCGAUUCCUUUGACUCUGAAGCUCUAUUUUGGCAUCUCUAAACAUCUGAUGUUCAAUUUGGCUCUACGGGUCAUAUGCUCCUGGACCUCCAAAACACUUCUACGAAUGUUAAAAGUAUAUAAAAAAAAUUAGACUUGUCCAUCAUUGAGGCUCCUUAUGUGUCAUCUCAGUUAGAUCAGGCUCACUUGUCAGCCCAACUCUCCUCGUCACUAUCCCCACUGAUCCGGACAUCACUGAGGCUCCUUAAGUGGCAUCUCAACUUUUCCCACAAAAAAAGAAGUUGCAUCUCAACUGAUCCGGACACCAUUGAGGCUCCUUUAUGUGGCAUCUCAGUUAGAUUUGAGCAUUGCAAGUCUUGAACUCUUAAUACGCUGACGAAAUUUGGGUCGCUCGGAAUACAGAAAUGAAAUCCAUGAAUUCCAACCCAAAUGACAGGAGCCAAACAAGGUGUAUCAUAGCAGCACCAGCUCCUCACACCAUCGUCUAGGCAGUGAUUGUCCUCACUGAUGCUUGACCACCGUCAUAGAUCAAGCGUGCCACUGUCCCCACAACAAUUUCAUUUGUCCCAGCAUAAGCAAAUGCUUCUCCUACAUUCCCACAAUGUCUGUGAGUUCGCAACCUAGGAACCUCGUCAGUCUACCUUCAUCAGCUAUGUACAUUUUACGAUUUCUCGCUGGCAACCAAACAGUGGGAGAGCAUAAAGACCACAUAACAUCAUGAAUCGAUGUAUCACACGCUUCUAAGUUGAAAGGUUGCAGUGUCAGGGAUUCAAGCAAAAUACUGAUAUGGAAAAACAGCCCAAUGGAUAAAGCUGAAAGACAAGGUUAUGUAACAUAAAAGGCAUCACAAGAAUGCAAAACCAUUGACACAAAAUCAAUGGGAGUAUACUGCAAAGAACUUGUACUCAAUUCGCUGAAAAUAUUUUUAAUCACAAUGCAUGCACUUCCAGUUUGAAGUUGCUUAUGACAGGACACAGAGGAACAUAACAGUGGACUAGACAGUCCAUUGCUGCCUUCCGACACAAAAUAAACCAGCCAUCAAAUAGACAUCAACUCCAGGUAGCCCAUCAGUAGAAGAAAAACGGAGAAAACCAUCCUAAAUCAACCGUAGAUAAGCUCUCCUGCACAACAUAGAUAAAGGUGGUGAGGACAACUGAAGGGUGCAGAAGACAUCUCAUGCCAAAAAAACAAUGCCUAUAUUGCACAUGUUUACAGCUCAAUAGUGUCGCAUAACAUAUAACUGCUGUAGUACACACAAUAUCACUUACGCAACAUCAGGUUUAUCCUUCCGCUGUUUUUGUUGGUAUCAAUACGUAAUAAUUAUAUUUAUCAAUCUUCUUAGACGGGUACAUAGGUCUUAGGCUCUUAAAAUACAGAAUGUAAGUCACACUGUUGUUCCAACACAAUUUAGUUAUAAGAAAGGUUCUGUCAAAACUAUCAUGGAAUUAAACUACUUUUAAGUCGUUGUCACUUCCACAGGGAGCAAAACGACUUUCACAUGUCAAUGAAUAAUGAUUCCAUUCCUCAAAAGUGUCAAACUCUGCAAAACGCCUUCAAAAGGACUUAAAUCCAUAUGCACAUUUGAAGUUCAACAGAACAUUAAACCGGUUUGCUAAACCAUUUUUCUGACAUGUCAUCUGAUAACCAUUGACCUAACCUACUAACACAAAACGUGAAUACAGCUAAUAGAUCUUACGCCGCUAUUUGGAAGUAUCAUAUGGUGCUAUGCAACUUCAUAAAUGCACAAAAUGGUGAUCCAAAAAGAUGGCCUGCAGUAACUUGAAGGUUGAUACAGCUGUCACCACAGUCCCAAACUAUGCAUAGCCAACGCAACACACUGUGUGAUCUAUAAUCACACAUGAUACCCAACAAAUGUGUCAUUCAACAGUUUCAUUUGCUAUUCGAGAACUAUAACAGCAUAGUGUAAGCCAUAUAAGUGAUCGAACUUUGUAAAGCUCAAGGAUGUCUUCAUUGAGAAUUUGCAUCGCUGGUGCAAUAUAUACUAGUAAAACUCAGAAGACAGUGCCAAACUAUACCCUGGCUGAAUGAAAUGGAUGUGAAACAGAUUAACAGAUAACGCCCAGGUAAUUCAGAUCCGCAUACAGUUCCACUAUUGGCGGUCAUAUAGACGAAUCAAUUGCCACUACACAAGUGAUUCAAAUGCACAAUUGCUCACAGACCCCGCCAGAACAUUUUGCAUCUAAUCGUACCGCACACCACGUCCAUGCGACCUUAUAGUUAAAUUAAACCACACGCCAAUCGUCAAGCAGACGGGGUUCAAUCCCCGGAAAAUAAUCUCAUCGCACCACCGGAUCGGAUCAGGAAACAGAAAUGGUACAAUCGAACCCUAACCUGCGCGAGGCGGAUCCGGAUCUAGUGGCCGCCGUGCUUCUCGAGGUGCUCGAGGUGGCGGCGCUCCUGGGGCAGGCCCACGAGGUAGG
rnacentral:lncRNA from 1 species